rnacentral:rRNA from 1 species
AAUGCCGGAUGAGUUAUAUAAGUGCAUGUUUAUAUAGGAAAAGUUGGGGAGACCUGACGCUGAAAGAUGGACUCGCGUCCCAUUAGCUAGUUGGUAGGGUAAUGGCCUACCAAGGCGACGAUGGGUAGCCGGCCUGAGAGGGUGGCCGGCCACACUGGGACUGAGACACGGCCCAGACUCCUACGGGAGGCAGCAGUGGGGAAUUUUGCGCAAUGCUCGUAAGAGUGACGCAGCGACGCCGCGUGAAUGACGAAGGCCUUCGGGUCGUAAAGUUCUUUCGACAGGGAAGAAAAUGCCUAUAAGUAACUGUGUAUGUAUUGACGGUACCUGUAUAAGCAGCCCCGGCUAACUCCGUGCCAGCAGCCGCGGUAAUACGGAGGGGGCGAGCGUUGUUCGGAGUGACUGGGCGUAAAGAGCACGUAGGCGGUGUUGUAAGUCAUUAGUCAAAGAUUAGAGCUCAACUUUAGUAAGGCUAGUGAUACUAUAAUACUAGAGUAUCAGAGAGGAUUGCAGAAUUCCUGGUGUAGCGGUGAAAUGCGUAGAUAUCAGGAGGAAUACCGUUAGCGAAGGCGGCAAUCUGGCUGGAAACUGACGCUGAGGUGCGAAAGCGUGGGUAGCAAACAGGAUUAGAUACCCUGGUAGUCCACGCUGUAAACGAUGGAUGCUAGGUGUUGGGCUUUUAAGUUCAGUGCCGCAGC